UUUAGAGCAAGCGCAAGGAGGCACCAGUGGAGCUCACUAACGAGCGUCUUCAAGUAGCAAAAUGGAUGAGGAAGGUGCUAAGGUGUGGGCUAGGCCCUUCAGAGUGGCAAACAAGAUCUGGCGGAACAUUGGCGAGAGGAAGAGGAGCAGCUGUGGAAGAGAAGAAAGAGGAGCUUCUUUUCCUCACGUCUAAUGGUGUGUCAUCUCUUCCAUUUUGAGCUGUUGUGGUUAAGGAUUUUGCCUCUUGCGCUCACUAGGGAGAGGAUGGAUUUUAUUUUAUUUUUUUUGUUUCGUGCUUUUGGUUCUUACCGUGCUCGGAUGUUUUGACAAGUAAAGGUAAGACAGAUCCAAAGAGCUGCGUGGCGAUGCUUAUCCUUGUUUCAAUGCAGGAGAAGGUCGUUUCACUGCAGCUGAGACCAAUAAAGUCAGCGGUAAGAUCUCACUUUCUUCUGAUUUCUAGCUUAAGGCCAGUGUCCGAUGGAGGCUUUACGUUUUCAAAGACGGAGCGGAGCGUCUUUGGACG
rnacentral:lncRNA from 1 species